UACAGAGGUCUCAAGCGUUGUUCGGAUUCAUUGGGCGUAAAGGGUGCGCAGGUGGCGCCGUAAGUCAGGGGUGAAAUCCUGGAGCUCAACUCCAGAACUGCCUUUGAUACUGGUGAGCUUGAGUCCGGAAGAGGUGAGUGGAACUGCGAGUGUAGAGGUGAAAUUCGUAGAUAUUCGCAAGAACACCAGUGGCGAAGGCGGACUCACUGGCCCGGUACUGACGCUGAGGUGCGAAAGCGUGGGGAGCAAAGCAGG
rnacentral:rRNA from 1 species